AUGAAAAUUGCUCUUGGCACUGCCCUUGGUUUGGAAUACCUUCAUGAUAACUGUAACUCCCUAAUUAUCCAUGGUGAUAUCAAGGCUGUCAAUAUCCUGCUCGAUGGAAAUUUUGAAGUUGUGCUAGGAGACUUUGGACUGCCAAAGUUGAUGGACCAAGGGAAGGAAAUAAUGAUGAUAGAGAUCUAG
rnacentral:rRNA from 1 species